AUUUUGAGCUGUCACUCCACUGAGGUCCUUGAUGUAGGCCCAGGAACGGCUGUAAAUAUGGUUUUCCAAACGCCCAGCAAUUUUAACGCACGUUCAUUACAGCAACGUGGGCAUAGCACAGCACAGACAGGCCCGUGUCUCUCUGGCUGCCACGUUCUCCAUCAGCCUCUCCCAUCCUGGCCUCGCUCUGCUCGUCCUCCUGCAGCCCGAAGCCGCGCAGGCCCGGCACCCGCUCACAGCCGCUGCCCGCCUU
rnacentral:lncRNA from 1 species